UGCCUACUAAAAGCAAGAAGGACGAACCUCGUGGAGUUAAAUCUGCAGGCGCACAGAAGAAAGACGCCGAGAAGAAAGCUACACAGCCUGCUAAAGGAAAGGGCGUCGCUAAGCCUUCAUCGGCGUCGACUCGCGGCAAAAAGGAGGACGAGGAUUGUACUCCGUUGUUACCGAACAAUAAUGCUAAGAAUCAAAGAAUUAUUGAUGAUCAAAAGUUAAAAGUAUUAAAAUGGAACUUCACGACCCCACGCGAGGAAUUCUUUGAUCUGCUGAAGGAGCAGAUGACAAGCGCCGGAUUGAAUAAACAGCUU